rnacentral:rRNA from 1 species
CCAGACUCCUACGGGAGGCAGCAGUGGGGAAUAUUGCACAAUGGGGGAAACCCUGAUGCAGCGACGCCGCGUGAGCGAUGAAGUAUUUCGGUAUGUAAAGCUCUAUCAGCAGGGAAGAAAAUGACGGUACCUGACUAAGAAGCCCCGGCUAACUACGUGCCAGCAGCCGCGGUAAUACGUAGGGGGCAAGCGUUAUCCGGAUUUACUGGGUGUAAAGGGGGCGCAGACGGCAGCGCAAGCCAGGAGUGAAAGCCCGGGGCCCAACCCCGGGACUGCUCUUGGAACUGCGCGGCUGGAGUGCAGGAGGGGCAGGCGGAAUUCCUAGUGUAGCGGUGAAAUGCGUAGAUAUUAGGAGGAACACCAGCGGCGAAGGCGGCCUGCUGGACCGUAACUGACGUUGAGGCUCGAAAGCGUGGGGAGCAAACAGGAUUAGAUACCCGAGUA